GCACAAGCGGUGGAGCAUGUGGUUUAAUUCGAUGCAACGCGAAAAACCUUACCUACCCUUGACAUGUCUGGAAUCCUGAAGAGAUUUGGGAGUGCUCUAAAGAGAAUCAGAACACAGGUGCUGCAUGGCCGUCGUCAGCUCGUGUCGUGAGAUGUUGGGUUAAGUCCCGCAACGAGCGCAACCCUUGUCAUUAGUUGCUACGAAAGGGCACUCUAAUGAGACUGCCGGUGACAAACCAGAGGAAGGUGGGGAUGACGGAUGGUCAUCAUGGCCCUUAUGGGUAGGGCUACACACGUCAUACAAUGGCCGGGACAGAGGGCUGCCAACCCGCGAGGGGGAGCCAAUCCCAGAAAAUCUAUCGUAGUCCGGAUUGGAGUCUGCAACUCGACUCCAUGAAGUCGGAAUCGCUAGUAAUCGCAGAUCAGCAUUGCUGCGGUGAAUACGUUCCCGGGC
rnacentral:rRNA from 1 species